CGUAACCCGUAAGGGGGGCAGCCGACCACGGUCGGGUCAGCGACUGGGGUG
rnacentral:rRNA from 1 species